rnacentral:sRNA from 1 species
UUCAUGCCCUCACGGGUAGAUCUCCCACCCUUGUGAAUCUCAUUAUCUGUUGCUUUGGCGGGCUCACCCCCGCCAGAGGACCCUUAAACUCUGAAUGUUAGUGUCGUCUGAGUACUAUAUAAUAGUUAAAACUUUCAACAACGGAUCUCUUGGUUCUGGCAUCGAUGAAGAACGCAGCGAAAUGCGAUAAGUAAUGUGAAUUGCAGAAUUCAGUGAAUCAUCGAAUCUUUGAACGCACAUUGCGCCCCUUGGUAUUCCGGGGGGCAUGCCUGUUCGAGCGUCAUUAAUACCAAUCUAGCCUCGCUAGGUGUUGGGCCUCGCCGUCUGGCGGGCCUUAAAACCAGUGGCGGUGCCUCCAGGCUCUACGCGUAGUAACUUUCUCGCUAUGGACCUCUGGAGGACGCUGGCCAGCAACCCCUAAUUUUUUCAGGUUGACCUCGGAUCAGGUAGGGAUACCCGCUGAACUUAAGCAUAUCAAUAA